UACGGAGGGUGCGAGCGUUGUUCGGAAUCACUGGGCGUAAAGCGCACGUAGGCGGCUUCUUAAGUCAGGGGUGAAAUCCUGGAGCUCAACUCCAGAACUGCCUUUGAUACUGAGAAGCUUGAGUCCGGGAGAGGUGAGUGGAACUGCGAGUGUAGAGGUGAAAUUCGUAGAUAUUCGCAAGAACACCAGUGGCGAAGGCGGCUCACUGGUCCGGUUCUGACGCUGAGGCGCGAAAGCGUGGGGAGCAAACAGG
rnacentral:rRNA from 1 species